UACGAAGGGGGGCUAGCGUUGCUCGGAAUCACUGGGCGUAAAGGGUGCGUAGGCGGGUCUUUUAAGUCAGGGGGUGAAAUCCUGGAGCUCAACUCCAGAACUGCCUUUGAUACUGAAGAUCUUGAGUUCGGGAGAGGUGAGUGGAACUGCGAGUGUAGAGGUGAAAUUCGUAGAUAUUCGCAAGAACACCAGUGGCGAAGGCGGCUUACUGGUCCGGUUCUGACGCUGAGGCGCGAAAGCGUGGGGGAGCAAACAGG
rnacentral:rRNA from 1 species